rnacentral:rRNA from 1 species
GCCCCCCAACCGGUGGGAGAUGUGGAUUAUUCGAUGCAACGCGAAAAACCUUACCUACCCUUGACAUGUCAGGAAUCCAGCAGAGACGUUGGAGUGCUCGAAAGAGAACCUGAACACAGGUGCUGCAUGGCUGUCGUCAGCUCGUGUCGUGAGAUGUUGGGUUAAGUCCCGCAACGAGCGCAACCCUUGUCCUUAGUUGCUACCAUUUAGUUGAGCACUUUAAGGAGACUGCCGGUGACAAACCGGAGGAAGGUGGGGAUGACGUCAAGUCCUCAUGGCCCUUAUGGGUAGGGCUUCACACGUCAUACAAUGGUCGGUACAGAGGGUUGCCAAGCCGCGAGGUGGAGCUAAUCUCAGAAAGCCGAUCGUAGUCCGGAUUGCACUCUGCAACUCGAGUGCAUGAAGUCGGAAUCGCUAGUAAUCGCGGAUCAGCAUGUCGCGGUGAAUACGUUCCCGGGCCUUGUACACACCGCCCGUA